UCAAGAAAGAAAGAGCAAAGGGCGAAUGCCUUGGCACUGGGCGCCGACGAAGGACGCGGUAAGCGGCGAAACGCUACGGGGAGCUGCAAGCAAGCCUUGAUCCGUAGAUAUCCGAAUGGGGCAACCCACGUCAGGAGAACCUGACGUAUCCAUGAGUGAAUUCAUAGCUGAUGGAAGGGAGACCGGGGGAACUGAAACAUCUAAGUACCCCGAGGAAGAGAAAGAAACAUCGAUUCCCCGAGUAGCGGCGAGCGAAACGGGAAGAGCCCAAACCAUAUGGUUUCGGCCAUAUGGGGUUUGGACAUUUUCAUGAGGUGUUGAGUACCGAUAGUCGAAUCGUCUGGGAAGGCGAGUCAAAGAGGGUAAGAACCCCGUAGACGAAAUUGGGAAAGAGACUGAGAAUGCUCCAGAGUACCACCGGACACGAGAAACCCGGUGGGAAUGUGGGGGGACCACCCCCCAAGGCUAAAUACGACCCAGUGACCGAUAGCGAAUAGUACCGUGAGGGAAAGGUGAAAAGAACCCCGGGAGGGGAGUGAAAGAGAACCUGAAACCCUUUGCUUACAAGCUGUGGGAGCAUUUAUAACGAAUGUGACCGCGUACUUUUUGUAGAACGGGCCAACGAGUUGCGAUUGGUAGCCAGGUUAAGUUCUUGAGGAACGGAGCCGCAGCGAAAGCGAGUCUUAACAGGGCGAAUGAGUUACCGGUUGCAGACCCGAAACCGUGCGAUCUACCCAUGGCCAGGUUGAAGCGAGAGUAAAAUCUCGUGGAGGACCGAACCAGGUGACGUUGAAAAGUCAUUGGAUGAGCUGUGGGUAGGGGAGAAAUUCCAAUCGAGCACGGAAAUAGCUGGUUCUCGCCGAAAUAGCUUUAGGGCUAGCCUUGGUUAAAAGAUCUAUAGGAGGUAGAGCACUGAAUGGUCGCGGGGCCUUCACCGGUUACCAACACCUAUCAAACUCCGAAUGCCUGUAGAGAAAGCCAGGAGUCAGACUGCGAGUGAUAAGAUCCGUAGUCGAGAGGGAAACAGCCCAGACCAACAACUAAGGUCCCCAAGUGUGUGUUAAGUGGAAAAGGAUGUGAGAUUGCUCAGACAACCAGGAUGUUGGCUUAGAAGCAGCCAUACAUUUAAAGAGUGCGUAAUAGCUCACUGGUCCAGGGAUCUUGCGCCGAAAAUAACCGGGGCUGAAACACACCACCGAAGUUUUGGAUGUGGAAACACAUGGUAGGCGAGCAAUGCGUGCAGGACGAAGUCAGAUUGCGAAGUCUGGUGGACCGCACACAAGAGAGAAUGUUGGCAUGAGUAACGAGAGGCAGGUGAGAAACCUGCCCGUCGAAAACCCAAGGUUUCCUGAGGAAGGCUCGUCCGCUCAGGGUUAGUCGGGACCUAAGCCGAGGCCGAAAGGCGUAGGCGAUGGACAACAGGUGGACAUUCCUGUACCACCGACAUUUGCAUGAGAGAAGUGGGGACACAGGAGGAUAGACCGAGCGCGCCGUUGGUUGAGCGCGUCCAAGCUGGUAGGGAGAACAGGCAGGCAAAUCCACCUGUUCAUAUCCUGAGAAGUGAUGGGGAGCGAAAUACAAGUAGCGAAGCGGUUGAUUCCACACUGUCGAGAAAAGCCACUAUCGAGAAUGAAGGUGCCCGUACCGCAAACCGACACAGGUGGGUGAGGAGAGAAUCCUAAGACGAACGGGAGAACUAUUGUUAAGGAACUCGGCAAAAUGACCCCGUAACUUCGGGAGAAGGGGUGCCGGGAGAGGUGAAUAAUUAACUUAGGAAGCCUCUUUCGGCCGCAGUGAAUAGGCCCAAGCGACUGUUUAGCAAAAACACAGGUCUCUGCAAAGUCGAAAGACGAAGUAUAGGGGCUGACGCCUGCCCGGUGCUGGAAGGUUAAGGGGAAGAGUUAGGGUAACCGAAGCUCGGAGCCGAAGCCCCAGUAAACGGCGGCCGUAACUAUAACGGUCCUAAGGUAGCGAAAUUCCUUGUCGGGUAAGUUCCGACCCGCACGAAAGGCGUAACGAUUUGGGCGCUGUCUCAACAAUAGACCCGGUGAAAUUGUAAUACCAGUGAAGAUGCUGGUUACCUGCGACAGGACGGAAAGACCCCGUGGAGCUUUACUGCAGCCUGACAUUGGAUUUUGGUACGGAAUGUACAGCAUAGGUGGGAGACUAAGAACCCAGGACGCCAGUCUUGGAGGAGUCGCCGUUGGGAUACCACUCUUUUCGUACUGGAAUUCUAACCAGGAACCGUAAUCCGGUUCUGGGACACUGUCAGGCGGGCAGUUUGACUGGGGCGGUCGCCUCCCAAAGAGUAACGGAGGCGCUCAAAGGUUCCCUCAGCACGGUCGGAAAUCGUGCGCAGAGUGUAAAGGCACAAGGGAGCUUGAAUGCGAGACCUACAAGUCGAGCAAGGACGAAAGUCGGACUUAGUGAUCCGGUGGUACCGCGUGGAAGGGCCA
rnacentral:rRNA from 1 species